UACGUAGGGGGCUAGCGUUGUCCGGAAUCAUUGGGCGUAAAGCGCGUGUAGGCGGCCCGGUAAGUCCGCUGUGAAAGUCGGGGGCUCAACCCUCGGAUGCCGGUGGAUACUGUCGGGCUCGAGUGCGGAAGAGGCGAGUGGAAUUCCUGGUGUAGCGGUGAAAUGCGCAGAUAUCAGGAGGAACACCAAUUGCGAAGGCAGCUCGCUGGGACGUUACUGACGCUGAGACGCGAAAGCGUGGGGAGCGAUCCGG
rnacentral:rRNA from 1 species